rnacentral:tRNA from 2 species
CGGGGCGUAGCGCAGCUUGGUAGCGCGCACGGUUCGGGACCGUGAGGUCGGAGGUUCGAAUCCUCUCGCCCCGA